rnacentral:rRNA from 1 species
CCUACGGGAGGCAGCAGUGAGGAAUAUUGGUCAAUGGGCGGAAGCCUGAACCAGCCAAGUCGCGUGAGGGAAUAAGGCCCUACGGGUCGUAAACCUCUUUUGCCGGGGAGCAAGGGCGGGGACGUGUCCCGGCCCGGAUAGUACCCGGAGAAAAAGCAUCGGCUAACUCCGUGCCAGCAGCCGCGGUAAUACGGGGGAUGCGAGCGUUAUCCGGAUUUAUUGGGUUUAAAGGGUGCGUGGGCGGGCUUUUAAGUCGUCGGUAAAAUUCGGGGAUCAACCCCGGCCGGCCGUUGAAACUGGGGGCCUUGAGUGGGCGAGAAGAAGGCGGAAUGCGUGGUGUAGCGGUGAAAUGCAUAGAUAUCACGCAGAACCCCGAUUGCGAAGGCAGCCGUCCGGCGCCCUACUGACGCUGAGGCACGAAAGUGCGGGGAUCGAACAGGAUUAGAUACCCUGGUAGUC